UUGAAUGUGAAUUGAUUUCUGUUUGGAUAUAUUUAUUUAAAAGUGAUUCUUAUGAAUUGAUGUUGGUUGGAUAG
rnacentral:pre_miRNA from 1 species